rnacentral:rRNA from 1 species
UGGGGAAUCUUGGACAAUGGGGGCAACCCUGAUCCAGCCAUGCCGCGUGGGUGAAGAAGGCCUUAGGGUUGUAAAGCCCUUUCAGUCGUGACGAUGAUGACGGUAGCGACAGAAGAAGCCCCGGCUAACUCCGUGCCAGCAGCCGCGGUAAUACGGAGGGGGCAAGCGUUGUUCGGAUUUACUGGGCGUAAAGGGCGCGUAGGCGGACGGUCAAGUCAGAGGUGAAAGGCCCGGGCUCAACCUGGGACGUGCCUUUGAAACUGAUUGUCUUGAGUGCGGAAGAGGGUGACGGAAUUCCCAGUGUAGAGGUGAAAUUCGUAGAUAUUGGAAAGAACACCAGUGGCGAAGGCGCUCUACUGGACCGUAACUGACGCUGAGGCGCGAAAGCGUGGGGAGCAAACAGGAUUAGAAACCCCCGUAGUCC